rnacentral:tRNA from 1 species
ACAUCAAUAGUAUAAAGGCUAAAUAUGUCUUCUUUCCAAGUCGGUGAUCUCUCUCUGAGAGUUGGUGUA